UCUACUUGGACUCUGAGAUCUGGUGGUUGGUAGGAUACAUUUGGUUUGUCUGAGAUUGUUUGCUGGAAAUGGCAGUGGAUCUGUGAGCCUCAACCACUAGGGCUAGAAAUCCAGAGCGUUGCCCUAAAAGCUACAAGGAGCUGCACUAUUGGGUGCGACUUACUAGUACAUCUGAUAAGAGGGUUCUGGCUGACCUCUUGUCUGAUCCUGCGUUGGGUUCCUGGCUGAUGUCCUCUGUGUUCCUUUGUUGGGGUCCUGGUCGAUGUCCUGUCUGAUCCACCUUCAAGAGAGAUCUUACCUUUGCCUGUCUGCCCAGGUUCAGGGCUGCCCUCCAAAAACGGCUCGGCCUCUCUUCGGCCUGUCCUCCUGAGGUCUCCUGCUCUGUCUCCAUCCUCCUCUGCUCCAGCAGCUGUCAGCCAACGGUCUGUCAAGUCUCUGGAUGGCUCUCUGUGAGCACCGUCACAGAUGUAAUGGCCUGAGAGGAGAGGACACGCUUGUUAGUGGUUCAUCAUGAGAGGUCCUGGUGCUCAACAACUGGAAGGUGAUGUGAUCAUUGACAGGGCAGGUGUAUCUGAUGCCCGUGUGAAUUGCUGCUGUCUCCAGGUCGAAACUCAGAGACCUCAGCAUGUCCAGCACACAGCUGAGGAACUCAUGGACAUCUUGCACAGAAACACACAGAACAGAAAGUGUUGGAGGUCAGUGUGAUACUGUGCUGUAUAAUGUAACUAAAAAGGUUUACUAACCUUCUGACCGUUGCCCUUAAACUUUGAGAUAUAUUCAGCAACAGUUUGUUUGAAUCCAGCUAGGGCACAUUUCUUCUGUGCCUUGUUGUCAGUGAAGUGGCAGACUCCAACCUUCACAAUCCCUUUGGAAACAACAAAAGCCAAGAGAAGAUGAUGUUUUUUAAAGUUGCUUUUACUUGAUGUUGAUCUGGAUCAUCAGCGGACAAACCAAAGAGUGAUAGCAUACGUGUGAGUGUGUGUAAGGUGCUGUACCUCUUGAUUUUAGCUUGUGGGUGAGUACGCCACACAUUCUCCUGGUUGUGAACCUCCUGGAUGAAAUGAGGCAGCGUCAGGAGGCCUUGUAGUGUGGAGUUCAUAUAACAAGUCUGUGCCAGGUUGGGGAACCUUAAACACAACAAGACAGAGGACGAAGGACAGAUUGGAGCUUGUUUUCCUCACUGUAUGUUACAGAUGAAGAUUCAUACUAAACUAA